rnacentral:lncRNA from 1 species
AAUAAUUUAAAAUCAAAGCACCAAAGGCGCUGUAGGCAGUUAAGCAGAGGCAAACUUGGCAGAAGUCAAGACGAAUAUUGUUGAAAAAUUGGUGAAAAUAUUAUCUCAGCUAUUUCUCAAGUAUUGAAUAAUGUUUGUACCCUAAAAUUUUCACUAUCCAAUCCCGCCACUUUCAAAAGUUAUGUCCAAUUAUUUAUUUUAACAUUUUUAUUAGUUUUUAUUGUUUUACAUUUGUAAUUCCUGGUCUUUUAAAGCUUACUAUGCAGUAUACAUGUAGGUUUUGCUAAUAGUUACAAGCUGCAUGGAGGAAUAUACAACUGCUUACCAAAUACCAUUGACUUUUCAUAAGUUGUCCUUUUUGAACAAACCUUUGGUUUUCUAGUUUGAAUGACUAGUAAUUUCUGGGCCCUUUAUAGCUUGUUGUUCGGUGUGAGCCAAGAAAUUUAAAGUGACAAAGUUUAUCCAACUGCACACCAAAUAUCAUUGACCAUUCACUAGUGGUUCCUCAAAAACUGACCUAAUCAAAAACUAAUACAUAUUAGUCAAUAGACCAUGACAAAGGGGGUGGGCUAAAUAUUCUGGUAAUGAGAUAUACCUACAUUAUUUAUGUAUGUUCCUGUCCGGGCCAAGUCAGGAGCCUGUAAUUCAGUAGCUGUCGUUUGUUUAUGUGUUACAUACAGUUGAAAGGGGUGUAUAGUCCGCGUUUUUUUACCGUGGGAAUGAAAUUGAUGGAAGGGGUGCGGACUAUGC